UACGUAGGGUGCAAGCGUUAAUCGGAAUUACUGGGCGUAAAGCGUGCGCAGGUGGUUGUGCAAGACAGAUGUGAAAUCCCCGGGCUUAACCUGGGGACUGCAUUUGUGACUGCACGGCUAGAGUGCGGCAGAGGGGGAUGGAAUUCCGCGUGUAGCAGUGAAAUGCGUAGAUAUGCGGAGGAACACCGAUGGCGAAGGCAAUCCCCUGGGCCCGCACUGACACUCAUGCACGAAAGCGUGGGGAGCAAACAGG
rnacentral:rRNA from 1 species